rnacentral:rRNA from 1 species
AGAUUGAACGCUGGCGGCAGGCCUAACACAUGCAAGUCGAGCGGUAGGGAGGUGCUUGCAUCUCUUGAGAGCGGCGGACGGGUGAGUAAUGCCUAGGAAUCUGCCUAGUGGUGGGGGAUAACGUUCGGAAACGGACGCUAAUACCGCAUACGUCCUACGGGAGAAAGCGGGGGACCUUCGGGCCUCGCGCCAUUAGAUGAGCCUAGGUCGGAUUAGCUAGUUGGUGAGGUAAUGGCUCACCAAGGCGACGAUCCGUAACUGGUCUGAGAGGAUGAUCAGUCACACUGGAACUGAGACACGGUCCAGACUCCUACGGGAGGCAGCAGUGGGAAUAUUGGACAAUGGGCGAAAGCCUGAUCCAGCCAUGCCGCGUGUGUGAAGAAGGUCUUCGGAUUGUAAAGCACUUUAAGUUGGAGGAAGGUUGUAACCUAAUACGUUGCAACUUUGACGUUACCGACAGAAUAAGCACCGGCUAACUCGUGCCAGCAAGCCG